rnacentral:rRNA from 1 species
UACAGAGGUCCCAAGCGUUGUUCGGAUUCAUUGGGCGUAAAGGGUGCGUAGGCGGCGCGGUAAGUCGGGUGUGAAAUCUUGGAGCUUAACUCCGAAACUGCAUUCGAUACUGCCGUGCUUGAGGACUGGAGAGGAGACUGGAAUUUACGGUGUAGCAGUGAAAUGCGUAGAGAUCGUAAGGAAGACCAGUGGCGAAGGCGGGUCUCUGGACAGUUCCUGACACUGAGGCACGAAGGCCAGGGGAGCAAACGGG